rnacentral:misc_RNA from 1 species
GAUGAAGAACGUAGCGAAAUGCGAUACUUGGUGUGAAUAGCAGAAUCCCGCGAAUCAUCGAGUUUUUGAACGCAAGUUGCGCCCGAAGCCAUUCGGCCGAGGGCACGUCUGCCUGGGUGUCACGCAUCGUUGCCCCCCCAAACUCCGGUUCGGGCGGGGCGGAAGUUGGCCUCCCGUGCGUGCCUGCGCGCGCGGUUAGCCCAAAAGCGAGUCCUCGGCGACGAGCGCCACGACAAUCGGUGGUUUUUUUACCCUCGUUCCUCGUCGUGCGUGUCCCGUCGCCCGAACGCGCUCUUGCGACCCUCACGCGUCGCCUCGGCGGCGCUCCCAACGCGACCCCAGGUCAGGCGGGACUACCCGCUGAGUUUAAGCAUAUCAAUAAGCGGAGGA